GACGACCGCUGGCGGCAGGCCUAACACAUGCAAGUCGAGCGAGCGGCGGACGGGUGGGUCAUGCAUCGGGAUCUGCCCGAUAGUCGGGGUUAACUACUGGAAACGGUGGCUAAUACCGCAUACUAUCGGAUCAACCCAUCUGGGCUUAGCUAGCAGGUGGGGUAAAGGCUCACCUAGGCGACGAUCUCUAGCUGGUCUGAGAGGAUGAUCGGCCAGACGGGGACUGAGACACGGCCCAAACUCCUACGGGAGACUACAGUGGGAAAAAUUGGACAAUGGGCACAUGUCUGAUGGAGCCAUGCGGCGUGUAUGAAAAGGGCCGUGGGGUUGUAAAGUACGUUCAGAGGGGAGGCGGGACCCGCAGAGGAAGCACCGGCUAACUCCGUGCCAGCAGCCGCGGUAAUAC
rnacentral:rRNA from 1 species